CCCUUAGAUGCUCUGGGCCGCACGCGCGCUACACUGAUGCAUUCAACGAGCCUAUCCUUGACCGACAGGUCCGGGUAAUCUUUGAAUCUGCAUCGUGACGGGGAUAGAUUAUUGCAAUUAUUAAUCUUCAACGAGGAAUGCCUAGUAGGCGCAAGUCAUCAGCUUGCGUCGAUUACGUCCCUGCCCUUUGUACACACCGCCCGUCGCUCCUACCGAUUGGGUGUGCUGGUGAAAUGUUCGGAUCGGCCGUUUGUCGCGGUUUCCGCGUCAUGUGGCUGAGAAGUUCAUUAAACCCUCCCACCGAGAGGAAGGAGAAGUCGUAACA
rnacentral:rRNA from 1 species